CCUACGGGAGGCAGCAGUGGGGGAUAUUGCACAAUGGGGGGAACCCUGAUGCAGCGACGCCGCGUGGGUGAAGAAGCGCCUCGGCGCGUAAAGCCCUGUCAGCAGGGAAGAAAAUGACGGUACCUGAAGAAGAAGCCCCGGCUAACUACGUGCCAGCAGCCGCGGGAAUACGUAGGGGGCAAGCGUUAUCCGGAUUUACUGGGUGUAAAGGGGGCGCAGACGGCGAUGCAAGCCAGGAGUGAAAGCCCGGGGCCCAACCCCGGGACUGCUCUUGGAACUGCGUGGCUGGAGUGCAGGAGGGGCAGGCGGAAUUCCUGGUGUAGCGGUGAAAUGCGUAGAUAUCAGGAGGAACCCCGGUGGCGAAGGCGGCCUGCUGGACUGCAACUGACGUUGAGGCCCGAAAGCGUGGGGAGCAAACAGGAUUAGAUACCCCAGUAGUC
rnacentral:rRNA from 1 species